UGAGGCACAUUUAAGCUGUGGGAGUAGCAUAAUUGACAACAGCAUAUUUUUCUGGUGUCUGGUAAAGGACAGCAGGAAUGUGUAAUGAGGAAGAACCCUAAAAUAAAUCUCAUGUGCACCAGGCCUUAGAACUGCUGGUACCUCAGGGCAUCAGUAUGUCCACACACACAUCUUUUGGCAAGAUUUCUCUCCCGGGUGGUUACAUUAAAGUAAUAGCUUUAAUUAAAAAAUAGAAAAUUGGCAUGCUGCAAAGCAAAGCGCCAGCCUCCAACAUCAUCUUCAUUUCCAGGGCUCUCUCUGGACUCCCACCGGGCCCCAUAAUCUUGAUUAGCAACGCUACACAGUCCUUUGUUUUGGACAAAUGCCAUCUCCUCAGAAAAGAGAACGUUGUGAUUAUGGUCAGUCCAGAGCUUGGGGGUUGAGACUGAGAAGAUUGGCAGGCUGGGCCUCUGACAAGAACUUCCUCUGCUCCAGUGGUCCGGCACUUACACGCAGCUCCUUCACCACCACCUGUGCAGGGGUGAAAUCUGAGAAUAUUUCACCCAGAAUAACCUAUGAGACAGAAAAGAAAAAGAAAAGAAAAAAGAAACCACCAUCAAAUACUGGCACCUGGUUAAUAAUUUGAACUGGCUAUGUAGAUCAUAUCUCAUUAGUCAUUAAAGUCCUUAAUGAAC